AACGCACAUUGCGCCCCUUGGUAUUCCAUGGGGCAUGCCUGUUCGAGCGUCAUUUGUACCCUCAAGCUCUGCUUGGUGUUGGGUGUUUGUCCCGCCUUCGCGCGUGGACUCGCCUUAAAGUGAUUGGCAGCCGGAAUAAUUCUGGGGAACGCAGCACAACUGCAGCCUCCAUUUUACGCCGAGCGUCCAGUAAGCCUAUUUUUCACGUUUGACCUCGGAUCAGGUAGGGAUACCCGCUGAACUUAA
rnacentral:misc_RNA from 1 species